GAAAAUAGGAAGACACAGUUCCUGCCCCCAAGAAGUUUAGAGUUCAUGGGGUAAGACACAUACUGGGAACAACUCUUAAAGGGAGCAGGGUGUGAUGGUCGACUCAGGGCGCCUGGAUUUGACCUGAGCUUGCUGGGGGCGGGAUGAGCGGUUGGUCUGCUGGAAUGUGGGGGAAGGGAACAAUCUAAGAGGCAGUUGGGGAGGCAGCUCUGAGGGGGGAGGACAGUUGGAAGAAUGAGAAAGCUUUCCGAGAGGGAUGCUCAAGGGGGAAAGUUUCCGAUCCUAGAGGACCAGAUGAACCAUAGUGCUGUGAGCCAAAACAGGGAAGCUGGGAGAGGAUGGAGGCUUGAGAGAUAGUGCUCGACAAAUGCUGCCAUUAAUUAGAGGGCAAGAAGAGAAUGAAGGAGCAACUCCAGGGGCUGCAGAGGAAAUCAAGGCGGUGCAGUCACUGGAGCCCUGGGACGAACAGGUUUUCAGAAGUAGAAUGGAGUCAUCAUGAUAUCAAGCAGCAGUGAGAGGACAGGGGAGCGUGCUUUGAGAUGACAAGGAGCUGGCCGAGACCGGAGGCUUCCCGCCCCGAGCCGGAGCCAGGAGUCCCCCAGAGGCGCAGCUGAGGAUGCCCGCACCUGCGGAGAGUCGGGACAGGAGCCCUCUUCCCCAGACGGGCGGCCCACGCACGGAGCUGCCUCCGCUCCAAGCCCGGUGGCCGCGGCCACGUCCACGCAUCCGCUCGGAGAGCCGUUGCCCCGGGGAGGGCAGCGUGAGAGGGCUGGCCACGCAUCUCUGCUGACUUCAUCUCCCAGCGAGGGGAGGACGGCGGCGGCGGAGUGCAAGCCCGAUGGAAAGCCAGACUGGACUCCGAAUGCCCCCACCGGCUGGGGGCCCUCUGCACGCUUCGCGGUGGUCUUCGGACCCGGAGCGCCCGGCCAGGCCUGCAGUUCUGCCACUGCUGGCUGUGCCACCUGGAAAAGUUAUCUAAACCUCUCUGUACCCCAGUCUCCUUCUUCGUCACCUGGUGAUCAUAACUGUCCUGACCUCAUUGGAUGGCUAUGAGGUUUAAACGAGGUAAUAUGUGCCCAAGGUUGUUCUGAACAGGGUUUCUUUUGUUUGGAAGGAUUAAAAAAAAAAAAUUGGAAUACUCUCUAAAAAGAGUAACUGACCUCAGUACCCUUGAGUGCCCGGUAUUGAAUGAGGGGGUUCACGAAUGGGCAUCAGGGUGGAUGGUCCUGCCUCCAACACUGCAAAGCCUUGUGUCGGUGUAUUGUAUAGAAAUACUUUUUUUGCCUAGGAGUCCACAGGCUAAGAUGCUCAAAGGGGUCGUGACUCAAGAUUGGGUGCCUAGGGGGUUUCAAGUGCCUUUGUUCUAGACUGGAGUUUCUCAGCCUUGGCACUAUUGACAUUUGGGGCCAGAUAAUUCUUUGUUGUGGGGGUCUGUCCUGUGCAUUGUAGGGUGGUUAGCAGCAUCGCCAGCUCUUUCCAUGAGAUGCCAGGAGCAUCCCCUCCAACUUGUGAUGAUCAAAAAUGUCUCCAGACAUUGCUAAAUGUCCUCGGGGGUGGGAGGGGGGCUCAAAAUUGCCUCUGGCUGAGAACUACGGCUUUGCAACAUUCCCUGUGGAGGACGUCCUCGGUAAGUUGAAGCUGAGCAAGAUUACUUUUCUGACCCUCAGUGGUCUCUGCCUACUUCUGUGCACUGUAUGGAGGGUCCAGUUACAUCCUGGCAAAGGCUUUUCAAAGUUGAUGGACCACAGACUUUCCAAGCCCCAGCCCUGUUUGCUGUCAACUAUUGGUUCCCAGACCUGGCUGGGCAGCUAGAUCAACUGGAACUCGGUUUUUAUUAUAUUAAUUUUUUCUCAAACCUAAAGGAUUUUUAAAGCAUUAAAUGCAACAUAAAUCACUCAGUUCAUUACUAUUCAUUAAAACCUGAGCUACAAUUAAAGUUAAAUAGUUAAUUCUUUGGGGAACAAGGUCUUGAGGUAAUCUCCUUUUGUGGCGAAUACAUCUUUUUUAACCACAGAUCUCAGAACUGAUAGUUCCUCGUUCAGGAGAAAGAUCAGAGAAGGAUUUUAAGGAGAAGGCCCAGUGAGGAAACAGAUGUGGGAGAAACGUCAGAAGUAUUUGCUGGGGCAUCCUGGAUGUGUUGAGGAUCUUUGACUCCCCCCCUCUUUUUUAAUGAUUAAUUGUCCUCCAUAGGCGAAUCAGGCUUGGCUCUUCUUCUCUUGCUUAACUCCUUGUACACCUGCUCCAACAUGUCCCCAGAAAUUUCAAAUGACUCCAGGACGUGUCGCUCUCGGGAGCUUUGUUCCGGAAUGCUCAUGGAGCUUGCUUUGGGCAGUCCUUCAGUUGCGAGUCCUUCAGUCUCAUUGUUGGGGCUGUGAUGCCGGGUGCCAGGCAGCAGACACAAGCUUUGGAGAUGCUAUGGGUGCAACAUGGAGCACCUCUGGGUGAAGAUCCCUUAGACUAAGGGAACCAGGUGCUGGCUUUUGCCUUGAGUCAGUCCCACGCUCUGUGGGACUUGGGGAUCUCGUCAAUGACUCCAGGUAGAAGAAUCAGCCUGGAGUCGACUUCUGGGAGGUAUGUGUCAAUAGUGCUGAGUGUGGGCAUCUGAGUCCCUCUUUGCAAUUGUGUGCACCUGGGUGUCAUCUGCACAUCUGGUCCUGUGAGCUCAGAUUAGGAUUCCCAGUAGUACCUUGUGACACCACAGCUGUGCCGUGACAAAUGUAAAAUGUGCUGAGACAUCUAGAGUUUGGUAAGGCAUGUGCACCAUGGCCCUGUUGCCGGCUGCUUUAAAGGCAUCAAGGUGGCUCUCUGCAGAGCGAAUAUGGCUGUUUUCAUGGGUGUCUCUAAACGAUACCACUAGGCUGUUGAGGGCUGCAUGGUAUAGACCAAGUCAAUGUUGCAGUUCGUCAUCAACCUGUGGUAUCAGAGAUUCUGGUUCCCCGUGUGAGUGUGGUAGUCGUGGAGCUGGGGUAUCAGGUUCGGAAUUAACUGCAAAUGGCACCUCUGAGAACAUGUCUCUUCAAGCUGGGCAAACUGCACCAAGGCUUGUGGUGCAAAUUGUCGUAGCAGUGUGGGAGUCCUCACAUUUGCUAUGUAGACAGCAGAGCCGAUACUGGAGUAUGUCCAGUCUCCACAGGUGGGUCCACAGUCUCAUAAUUCUCACUUGAAAGAGCCAGGGAGCACUGCUGAGGAAGGUGAGGAUUGGGGUGGCCCUGGAUGGGCCAUCUUUGUGACAACCGAGUUGUUUCCUUUUUGACAUUAUGGCAGAGUGGGUCUUCUGCUCUUACCUGAAGAAGUUAAUGGUUUUGGCAAAGCACAGAUAUGAGAUCAGUAGAGAGCUCAGAUGAGCCUAGGACAAGGUAUAGGGGCUUCCUUAGCAGGCAUGGCCCCCUGUCUAGGCUGAGCUCCUCCAGUGAGGGACAAGGAGGACCUUGUAGGUUGGUGCAUUGUUGUUGGUGGGAAGAAACAGUUUGAGCAGUGGUCUUUGUAGUGGUCAGAUAGUUUUUUAAACCCCACACCUCAGAUCGUUGUCUGCAUUUUCCCUCUUGGGCAAAAGGAAGUUCUAACUUGGGGAAAGCACAGAUUGUAUUUUCUCAGUAGGCCUAAGGGGAACCAUAGGUGGAGGAACGAAGGGGCACUGGAGGUCCUCCCAGGUGGGUGGGAUCUCCCUGGUGGGGUGGGCAUCUUUGUCUUGAUGUGAUCAUGGAAAUCAUGGAAAUGACAGGUGGCCCGUGACAUCCUGCUAUUUAGAAGAGAAGAGUUUCUUGCAUCUCUUGGUGGGACCCCAGCUGUACCAUGUAGGAGGCACACCACACACUCAAGGCCUCAGAUGACCCCUUGGAACUGGUGUUGGGACCUCCAGUCGGGGCUGGGCUCCUUCAGCAAGAAGAGAAAGACCCUACAGGUUGGCAUAUUGUUGGUGCUGGGAGCGAGAUUUCACCUGUUUUGAUGGUUGGGCCAGAAGAGCUCUCUGAUCAUUGAGGGUGUCUUCCAGGAAGUUUCUGGUGACUGCUUGCUUCUUGGAGUUGGGACACGGUUUGUUGAAGAGUCUCUUUCUUGGUGUGUUUGUCCUAAAACAUGUCUCAAGUUGGCAGUUCCCACUUUCUCUGUGUCAAGAGCUCUUCUAACAUCCUCUGCCAUGAAUGAGGGUUCAUGGCUUUCCUGGUUCAGAAUGCAAAUGUAAAUUUUAUAGGACCUCUCUUGUUUUUCUAAUUUUUUCUCCAGGUCUUGGAUUUUCUGCUUAUUCAUUUUCACUUCCUCAAGCAGCUUCUGCUCUUUCUCCUUCCUGAUUGGCUGUCUGUGCACCAUCGUGACUUGUUGCCCAUGGCCUUCAUUAAGGCCUGUGUGGUUUUGCCUUCAUUUUCCAGGUGAGCAUUGACCCGGUGCAGGGGACCCUUGCCUCCUUCCUUGCCUUACCUACUCUUCCAACACUUGCACGCUGGACACAUCAUCUCGCUCAGAAUUGGAAGGCCGCAUCUUUUUCAAACCACUCUCUUUCUUCCUGACUUUGUUAGUGUUGCAGAGCCCUGACUUGCUGCUCAUGGCCUUCUGAAGGCUUGUGUGAUGUUCCUCUUGAGUUUUCGGCCGAGCAUGGGCUGUGCGCCCUCUUUGUUCUCCCUGCUAUGGCAUGGUGAUACUGCCACUCUCUGUUUGGAAGAGAAGGAGGCUGCAUCUUUCAAACUGUUGUGGACAGUGUUUUGUCCGGGGAUUGUCAUGAUCUGAUCCGUCAGACUUCGUAUUUUUUUUUAUCCUGGAAUUCGGCUGCUUUCUGCCUCGUGGCACAUUGGAUGCCGGGGCCGGGGGCAUGAGCCAUGGUAAAUGGCACCAGGAAAUUGGGGUAUUUGCCCACCGACUCCUUUCUCUUCUUGGCUGAGGGAUGCUCUGCAGGCGUUAACUCUCCAGAACUUGCGGCCUCCCCGCCUUUGAGGGUCCAUUUCUUUUCCCCUUUGUGCUUUCUCCUGGAGUGCUUCAGUUCCUUUCCAGUUCACCCAGCUGUGUCAGCUGCUUAGUCUUUGAUGAAAUGUCCUCUCUUCUGAGGAGUGUGUCCUGACUUUGAUGAUCUUUAUGACACCAGAGGCCAAGAAAAGCGACACUGCAAAGGGAGUCAGAGCAGCAGCCCCCUUCCUUCAGGACUUGUAAGGGCCACCUUUGGGGUGAGACCAGAGAUCUGUCCUCUAGGCUGUGACUGUGGGGACAGCUGGUGCCCCUUCAGCUUCUCCUUUGUGUGUGCUGACAAUAAUCCUUGGGGGACGCGUUGCCCUGUCCACCCCUGCCGCAGAGCCACGGUUUGCUGUGCGGGCUUUGUCAUUUAGAGCAUGGUUUUGUGCUUCAAAACUUUUCUUUGGGUUUUAAAAUUAACAUUCAGGAGGCUCGCUUUUCCUUAACCUUUAAGUUCCAUUUGCAAUUUCUGCUCUUAACAAAUUUUAACGAUCCCUUUUAAGGGGAGUUGGUGAGAUUCCGGGUCCCAUUGGAAGUGGUUAGUGGUGACGGCCCAUCUCCUGCUCAUGACAAGCUAACAGUCACAGACUGGGCGGUGCAGCCUGGUGCCGGUCCUGUUCUGCCCUGGGCUGGUGGUCCAUAAGCUCAUUUCUCUCUCCAUGUUCCAUUGAGGUGAGGCUGGCUUCGGGGACAGGCGACCUGUGCUGUCACGCAGGCCCCACACUUGGUUUAAUGCUCUGCUGUCGUCAUCUUGAAAUUCUUAAGAAUCUUUUGAAGAAGGAAGCCCCGUGUUUUCUUUUAGCACUGGGCCCUACAGAUCAUUUACCUGGUAAGUCCUGAAGAGGGGCAGUUACAGACCAGAGUGUGUCCCUCAGCAUUACUGAGGGCAGCGGGGGAGGAGGGAAGAGCUCACUGGAGAAAGAGUUGUGGAAAGAGGCUGGGGUUAAGGAGAGAGAGAGUGGAGGGUGGGUAGAGAGGGAGAGGGCCCACCUUAAAAUCAACGGGAUGAAUAGGAUGAGAGAUUAGGCAUUUUGUGUGGGACUCAGAAAGGCAAGAACAUCCCCGCGAUGGUUUGCCUCCGCAAUUAUUUGCCAUCUCAUCAGACGGGGAGCCCCGUGUGGGCAGGGAUGGGUUUGCUUUGGUUCUUUACCAGGUAACUCCCGGUGUGAGUGUAGCAUAAUGGACAGCCUGUAGCUGAGGCUCCGAACAAUAGCCGUCAAACAAUGACAAACUUCAUCACUGAGCUGAAUGGCAGUGGAAUACGUUUCUUUGACGAGCAGCGAAUCCCCGGUGGGUCAGGGCACUGGUUAAGCAGAAACCAGUGGGUCGUUGGGUGUUAAUCACUGAUAUUUCUGUUGUUGGUUGAAUGCAGUGGAGCACAUGCCCUUUGGUACACAUCUGGGGUUGCAGCCCCUGGCCCUAACCCCAUGAAUCGCUCAGUGCCUGUUGAAGAACUUUCUUCUCUCAGCAUCUGGCCCUCCAAUCUGGAUUCUUUGUGUCUCUGCUGGGUUCCUUUUUCUUCCCCUGCCUCCCACCAUAGGCACCAUGGCGCUCCAACUCAAGCACCUUAAAAAUGUCCACUUAACAGAAUGACAGAUGGCAUGGUUGGUCCCUCCAACCACUUCUGUCACUUUCUGCCUAUUUCCACAUUAAGUACAUGCUUCCCACCUGACUAGCACUCCCACCCUUACCCCUGCAACUGAACAAACCCUUUGGUCAAUGUAGGUGGUCUGUAUAUAAUAAAUAGGCUUGCUUUGCUUCUGUGGUAUCUACCCAACCCCACACGCCUUCCCUGUCCUGGGAGCUGCUCCCUCGGAGGCCGACCCUCCCCUGCUUCUCAUCGUGCAUGAAUUUCCUGGAAUAAAUCCUCCAGGAUGAGGCAUCUUGGGGAAGACAAAGAUGCUGGGAGUCCAGGAGAGGGUCUCUGGUAUCAGCUCUGUUCUGGACACCGGUAGCUGGAGUGGGGUCGGGGAGCCCGUAAGUAUUUUUCUUUGAUGGGGGUGUGGGACCUCCAGUGCAGAGGGUGAAUUUAAGCACGCGCCUCAGUUCAUGACAGUUCAUUAUCAAGGGUCUACUCUCUUGUGGGUUUUAAUCUUUUUGAAUGAGAUUUCCCACUCUCACACCUCCCUCUCCCACUGUGGGCAACGGUUCUGGAAUGCCCAGUGCGUGUCUUUUGGUUUUUUAUUGCUCCAACAAAGCACUGUUCCUAUCUUAUGUGUAAGCACUUUUAAUUCACAUAGAUGGUAUUGUCAUGCCAUUUCUUAUUCUGUUUCCUUUCUCACUCAACACUGUAUUUUAAGACGUGAUCUUCCGUUCCACAUUCUUAAAAUUUAUUGAGAUUACCCAAAGAGCUUUUGUUUAUGUGGGUUAAAACUAUCGAUAUUUACUACCUUAAAAAUUGAAACGGAGAUGUUUAAAAAUACUUAUUUAUUGAUUCAUUUGAAAAUAGCAAUGAUGAGCCCAUUGCACAUUAAUGUAAAUAACAUUUUAGCAUUAUUAUGAAAAUAGUUUUGACCCCGAAGACUCCCUGUCCUACAAUAAAGUGUCAGUUUGUUCCAGAAUGUGAAAAGGCCCUGUGAAGGACAAAGUUUGGAAAGUGAAUUUUAUAAGACCUGCAUCUGAAAAGAAACCAUGGAAUAUAUUAUAUUUUAGCAGAGUUUGUUCAGGUUUGAUGGGCUUGUUUCCUUGGUUUACUGAUUAAUAUGAGUGCCUACAAUAUGGAAAGUCAUUCUAGAAGGGGGAGAUUCUGUGUUUGACCAGAGAAUUUUUUGGUGCUUUAUGUUGAAUUUACCGUGUCUAAGAUUAUUUUAAAACACUGGGAACAAAACGCUCCUCAAUUAUAAACAAGCUAUAUGUAUACUUCUUUGUUUAUUUUACUCAUUUAUUUCACAAUCUGUGCCUGUGUAGGCUUUUAAAAGGAAAAUUAACAUAUUAUUCACCUUUUUAGAGAGUAGAGGUCAAUGGCUUUUAGGCUAUUAUUAGGUUGUGCAGCCGUCACCGCUAUCUAAUUCUACCUCAUUCCAGAACAUUUUCGAAAUGAAACCCUGUACCCAUUAGCUGUCAUUCCCCAUUUUCCUCUCCCAAACCCCAGCCCCUGGGAAUCAUUAGUCUACUUUGAGUCUCAAUGGAUUUGCCUAUUUUGGACAUUUCAUAUAAAUGGAAUCACACAAUAUGUGGCCUUUUUUGUCUGGCUUCUUUUGCUUAGCACAAUGUUCUUGAGGGUUAUCCAUGUUUAGUAUGUAUGAGGACUUCGUUCCAUUUUAUGGGUGAGUAAGAUUCCAUUGCAUGGAUACACCACAUUUUAUUUAUCCUGUCAUCACUUGAUGGUCAUUUGGGUUGUUUCCACUUUUUGGCUAUUAUGAAUACUGCUGCUAUGAACAUUUGUGUGUAAGCUUUUUGUUUCCAUAUGUCUUCAAUACCCCUGAGUCUGUUUACUUUUCAAUGUUAUCGCUUAAUUAAAUGGUUAACCGAAGAUUGUUUCUCAGGCACCUAUGGCAUUUAUUAACAAGUGUCCAGAUCUCUUCUGACAGCUCUUUAGAUUUUGCCUUCCCAAAUAAUUUAAUAUGCAAAGAAAAAAAGUGAAAGGGAACUUUGAGGAUAUCUUUCACAACUACAGUGAUCUUUGAGAUUCCCUGAGGAGACUUGGAAAAUCACAAAGAUUUGUUUUUGCACCUUAUUAAAAGAGAGAUGCUAGAAAUAAUUAGGUUCGUCUGAUGUGUUAUUAUUGUAAGAUUUGCACGAGAAGAGUUGUCAGAUGGGAAGCCAUGUUCAGCCUUCCUGAGGUUAAGCUUAUAUGGAUGAGAUGCUAAUGUAAGUAUUUUAGAAAUUGUAUGUUUUAUGGGAAGUCCCUGGCGAUCUGUCAAUGCUCUCACUGCCCAUAUGUUUUUUCCCUCAGGGGAAAUGCUCAUCUAACGUCUUUUGAAAUGGUUCUGUACUGUACCCUGAGAGAGAUGUCUGCUCUCCUGCAUUCUGAUAUUAUUGGUUAGAGCCAUCAAUUAACCACAGCUCUGGCAUCUCUGUCAUCGUACAAAUAUUUCUGUUUCCUCUGAUGCUUGCCUGAAGGCUCUGCUCUAAGCCGCAGCCUGCAGCCUGUGUCUUCAAUGCAAAGGGCCAGUCUUAGAGCCUCUUGAUAAAUGACCGUACCAGGUACUUCAAACCUGCCGUACUUUAAAGAGUAGACUCCUGGGUGCAGGCUUCUGACUGGCGUCACUUAAGCAACUCCAAGACUAGGCCCGCAGACCCAGUCAGGAUUUCCAGGACUCUCUUUGGUCCAGAAGCGGACGGCUUCAUUACAGCGGACUGCUAAGCCAAUCUAGCGGAACAAGAAUGAAUGGCAGGGGGCUGCAUGAAGUGAUGUAGGAAUUUAUUGUGGUUAUUGGUUUAUGGUGAUGUUGUUUGAACACUCUGCUUUCUGGCUAUGUGGGGGUGCCUUUUCUCUUCUUCAGCUCCCUGUAACCCACAACAAUUUAGUAGACUCUGCUUUUGUAAAUGGAAAUAAAAUGUUUACAAAUGAUGCUCGGUUUUCACUGGUGUGCCCUGGCAUCUCAUUGUGGUUUUAAUUUGCAUUUCCCGAAUGGCUAAUGAUGUCGAUCAUCUUUCAUGUGUCUGUCUGCCAUCCGUAUCCCUCUUUAGUGAAGCGGCCCAAGUUCUCCCAGCAGACUGUGGACUCUGAACGGAAACAAAGGACAGGCAUAAGGAGCACCCUGAGCCAGGCUUCUGGGCAGUUUCCGGGCCCCCAUCUCUUCAGCGUCUCCCCUGCCCCUGCCAUGGGACCAGUGUGUACAGGUCAGCUCCUGGGCUGUGGCAGACAGACUUGUCCCCGUGGGAUGUCUGCCGGGUUGGAAGACUGACACCCCCGAAGGAGGAGGCUCAUCCCAGAGGGUGGCACUUUCUCUGAAAGAGUAUAAGCUUCAUGAAGGUCCUCAAUAAAUGUUUGUUAUUGGAUGAAGACAAUGGAUCCCAAUGGACAAAGUGCCCAUGGGAGUGGCACCCGAGCUGAACGUUGGGAAGCCAAGGAGGGGACCCAGAGGAAGAGACAGUUCCUUUGUUACUACUGCCAAGGGGUCUGUGGGCCACACAUUCGAAGGUGCUGGAGGACACCAAAGGGGGCCCUCCUCAUGGGGUCACAUGUUCCCUGAGUGGUCAGGGCCACACCUUCUCAGUGCCACCAGAGCUAUCCCUCCUGUCUUUGUCUUCUCAUUGUAUCCCCAUGCAACAUACGGUAGAAGGUAGUUAUCAAGAAAAUAUCUUUGUUUUUAGCACUUUCCUUGGAAAAACCGCAGGGGUCCAAACCCUUUGGAGGUUGUUCCCAGUGACUUGGCACCUGGUGGAUUUGAACAGCCUGCUCUGGGAACGUCUCAUCUUGGUCUUGAGAUGCAACCUAAUUCCAGCUUAUUGAGCUAAGGUUCUGAGCACGGCCCUCCUCCUCGGGACUUCCUAAGUGGACUUGAUGCCCCUGGGCACUUUCCUUUCUUUUAAUAGAUUGUUUCUGCUGGCUUUUGUGGUAGAAGCUGGGGCAGUUGAUGGAGAAACUCAGCCAAGCCAAGAGAAAGGUGCUGGAGAACCUAUGUAUCCCUCACAGGGGCGGGGCCGUUCCUGGGUGGACCUGGGAGGACCUGGGAGACUAGGGCAGAACACAGGUGCCCCCCAGGUCCCCUUGCUCCAAACUAUAGAGUCAGAUGGCUUUCGGUAAUCUUUCCAAAGGGAAUUGUGCAAAUGUACCCCAGAGACAAUUGCAUUUGAGGUUGAAAUCUCUGUAUCUGAAAGGGCUGCUCUAUGCCUGACUUUGGUUCAGGUCCCAAGCCCCUAUUUGGAAUGGGAAAUCCCACUCAAGGGCAGGGAGCUUGGCUAGGAUCUUCCUUCAAAAGAUUGUGUUUGGAGCUCACCAGCUCCUAAUGCAUCUGUGAGUCAGGCAGCAACCAAGUCCAGUGUUCAUGGAGAGAAAGAAGCAGUUAAAAUGAAUCCCAGGUGCCACCCUAUGCUCCCUGUCACCUCAGCCCCUGUUCACCUGGCAUGGUCUCCUUAACACAGGACAGUCUGAAGGCAUCACUAAUGAUGGCACCAUGAUGGCCUUGGGAUCUCUCUCCUCUCUCCCUUUGUCCCGAUGAACAGAUAUCUGCAUUCAGAAUGCCCUAAACGGGCUCCUUAAGGAGACGAAGUCUCCUUGAGAGCAUGAGUUUCCCCUUCCACUGAGCAGAAAGUGUGCCUGGAGAAAGGGCUCCAGCACACCCGGGUCUGGGAGCUGCAACCGGGUAGAAAAGGACCCUGCUCUGUCCCCGUGUGGAUCUAAACCGGGCAACUGCUCCACCCCACCUUGCCCCGAUGCUUUGAGGGGAGCGCAGAUAGAGCAGUGUGUGUCUGGGAGGGCAGGUGUGAACCUGCAGACUGGGCUACAGCACCUCGUUGGAAGACCAGGGAUGACGGGGUGAUGGCACUUGGUGGACAGGAGGUGCCCUGUAGGAUACACAGGGAGGGCAGGGAAAUGGAUCGGUAUUCGGACGUGCAGCAGGGCCUCGUGGGAGUGGUUAGAUGGCCCCUCUCCCUCUGCUCUCUCCCUUUCUGUCUUUCUCAUUCUCUCUUAUUCUGUUUGUUUCUCUGUCUCUGUCUCUCUCUCAUUCUGUCUCUCUCUCUGUCUCCCUCCUUCCUUCCUGUGCUUUUCUCUGCGUAUUUUCUCCACUAUUCUGACUGGCUUCCUCUCCCAGGCUCUUGGUUUCUACUCUUCCCAGCAUCAGUCGGGGCUUUGGUUUUGGAUUGCCAUGGUGCCACCUCUCAGCCUCGGAGCUAUAGCACUACCUAGCCCCAGUGCCACAUGGUCUGCCUGACAGCCUGGAUCUCAACCCUGGAUUCCGGGAGACUCUUACUGGCCCAGCUUGGACCAGAUGUCCCCUCUCAGCCCAGUCAGCUGCGGGCAGGCGGAGAGGGGUCAGGUGGCUCACUGGGCUGCACCAUCCGGCUUGUGAACAGCAUGGCUUCUCUUGGAAAGGGGUGUGGCUUGGAAAGAAAUGAAGCUUAUAUCUGAUCCAGGUAUAUCUACCCCUCUGGGGUCCAUUAAUCUAGAUGGGUUCCUGGAAAUCAAAUAGAGGACAUUUCCAAAGGUGACUUCAGAGUCACACCUGCCGUAUUUGAGUCCUAGCUUUGCCACUUCAGAGUUGUAUCACCUUGAACAAGUUACUGUCUUUGAGCUUUAGUUUCUUCAUCUGACAAUAGUAUCCAUUGCAUAAGAUUGUUGUGGGAUUAAAUGAGGUCAUGUCAAAAUGCAUCUUGUAGGCAGUCAAUAAAUGAUAGCAUUAAAAAAAAUGAGUUAUCUCUCUACUCUAGGAUCUCAAAGAGCUCUAUGGACCCAAAGGCCAAGCUGGCCCUAUAUCAAGGGGUACGUGAUGAGUUGUUGUGGGCUAAACUGGACUUUGAGGAGGAGAAGUUAGGUUUGUGGCAUUCUAGGACUCCUGGUUGGAGGUCCCCCUGCUUGCUGGAGGUCACCUAGCCCCACUGUUCCACACCCCACUGGUAUCCCUACCCUAAAGUGUGUGGAUCUAAUCUGUGGGAUUCAUACCCUGGCUCUGCCCCCAACUGGCCAUGAGAUGUGGGGCUGGUUACUUAAUCUCUGAGUUUCGGGGUCUUUACAGUGGAGACAACCGCAGCACCUCUCUCAGAGGCUUAAGAGAGAUACCUCAGCUAGACUGUUCAGCACAAUACCUGGCACUUAGUAAGUUUCACUGAGCUGGUAACUGCUGUUAUAACCUCGGAGACGUAGAAAGAAACAGGGAGCAAAGAACAGACAGGUUGCUGAACAGAUAGGCAGUGGAUGGCGAGUGAAAGCCCAGAGUCCUGGGGUCCCAGGGCCCUGCUUUAGUGGUUCUGCCCCAGUCGGACAGUCCUGACGCCCUCCCCCGUCCAUGGGAGAACAGGCUCUCUUUGUCAAGAUGGGCUGCGAACCGCAGAAGCUGACCACUCGACCAGAACUGGGUGAGC
rnacentral:lncRNA from 1 species